rnacentral:rRNA from 1 species
GACGAACGUUGGCGGCGUGCUUAAUACAUGCAAGUCAACUGAAGCAGUGGUAGCAAUAUCGCUGUGGAGGUGGCGCACGGGUGAGUAACACGUAGGUAAUCUGCCUUCAGGUCUGGCAUAACUCCGGGAAACCGGGGCUAAUAGCAGAUGAUGCAGCGGCUCGACAUCGAGACAGUUGUUAAAGCUAUGCGCCCGAAGAUGAGCCUGCGUCUGAUUAGCUAGUUGGCGGGGUAACGGCCCACCAAGGCAACGAUCAGUAGCUGGUCUGAGAGGAUGAUCAGCCACACUGGAACUGAGACACGGUCCAGGCUCCUACGGGAGGCAGCAGUAAGGAAUAUUGCUCAAUGGGAGAAAUCCUGAAGCAGCAACGCCGCGUGAGGGACGAAGGGCUUUUGCCUGUAAACCUCUGUAGUGAGAGAAAAAAAUCCCAAUCUUUGGGACAUGAUGGUAUCUCAAAAGUAAGCCCCGGCUAACUACGUG